UACGUAGGGGGCUAGCGUUGUUCCGGAAUCAUUGGGCGUAAAGAGCGCGUAGGCGGCUAGAUAAGUCCGGUGUGAAAGUCACAGGCUCAACCUGUGAAUGCCGCUGGAAACUGUCUGGCUAGAGUCCGGAAGGGGCGAGUGGAAUUCCUGGUGUAGCGGUGAAAUGCGCAGAUAUCAGGAGGAACACCAAUGGCGAAGGCAGCUCGCUGGGACGGUACUGACGCUGAGGCGCGAAAGCGUGGGGGAGCAAACAGG
rnacentral:rRNA from 1 species